UGAUGGCAAUGAUGAUUUUUUUAACUUGCUCACCUGAUAUGCACAUAUGAGGGUGUAUAGUCACUACCUCAUCUGAUGCCAUCU
rnacentral:snoRNA from 15 species